rnacentral:rRNA from 1 species
UACGUAGGGGGCGAGCGUUGUCCGGAUUUAUUGGGCGUAAAGCGCGCGCAGGCGGUGCGGUAAGUCCUGUGUGAAAUCUCCCGGCUCAACUGGGAGGGUGCGCCGGAUACUGAGGGGCUAGAGUGUGGGAGAGGAAAGUGGAAUUCCUGGUGUAGCGGUGAAAUGCGUAGAUAUCAGGAGGAACACCGGUGGUGUAAACGGCUUUCUGGACCAUAACUGACGCUGAGGCACGAAAGCGUGGGUAGCAAACAGG